rnacentral:rRNA from 1 species
UAGGGAAUAUUGCAAAAUGGGCGAAAGCCCGAUGCAGCAACGCCGCGUGGGCGAUGAAGGCCUUCGGGUCGUAAAGCCCUUUUUGAGGGGAUGAGGAAGGACAGUACCCUCAGAAUAAGCCUCGGCUAACUACGUGCCAGCAGCCGCGGUAAAACGUAGGAGGCGAGCGUUAUCCGGAUUUACUGGGCGUAAAGCGCGUGCAGGCGGAUUGGAGAGUUGGAUGUGAAAGCUCCCGGCUUAACUGGGAGAGGUCGUUCAAUACUUCCAGUCUUGAGUGCAGUAGAGGGAAGUGGAAUUCCCGGUGUAGUGGUGAAAUGCGUAGAUAUCCGGAGGAACACCAGUGGCGAAAGCGGCUUCCUGGACUGUAACUGACGCUCAGACGCGAAAGCUAGGGUAGCAAACG